rnacentral:rRNA from 1 species
AGCCGGUGACGGCAAGCUAAUCUCUUAAAGCCAGUCUCAGUUCGGAUUGUAGGCUGCAACUCGCCUACAUGAAGUCGGAAUCGCUAGUAAUCGCGGAUCAGCUACGCCGCGGUGAAUACGUUCCCGGGCCUUGUACACACCGCCCGUCACACCACGAGAGUUUGUAACACCCGAAGUCGGUGAGGUAACCGUUUAGAAGCCGCCCGCUAAAGGGGGAUAGAUGAAUGGGGUGAAAUCCUAACCAGGGAACCGUUA